UCGCCGGUGGUCUAGCGGUUAAGACUGCCCUUUCAAUGCAGGGGCACAGGUUCGAUCCCUGGUCGGGGAA
rnacentral:tRNA from 1 species